UCUGGUUGAUCCUGCCAGAGGCCAUUGCUAUUCGAAUCCGACUAAGCUAUGCAAGCUGAGAGUCUUAGGGACUCGGCGAACUGCUCCGUAAUGCGCAGAUAACUUACCCUUGAGUGGGAGAUAAUCUCGGGAAACUGAGGCUAAUACCCCAUAGGUGCUUGCUGCUGGAAUGCUCUUGCACUCAAAGUUCCGACGCUCAAGGAUAGGUCUGUGCCCCAUCAGGCAGUUGUUGGUGUAAUGAACCAACAAACCGAUAACGGGUGCGGGCUAUGGAAGUAGGAGCCCGGAGAUGGAUUCUGAGACAUGAAUCCAGGCACUACGGUGUGCAGCAAGCGCGAAACCUUUACAAUGCAUUCACGUGCGAUAAGGGGAUUUGAAGUGCUCCAGCACAGCUGGAGCUUUUGCUUACCUUAAAUCAGUAGGCGAAUAAGGGCUGGGUAAUACAGGUGCCAGCCGCCGCGGUAAUACCUGAGGCCCAAGUGAUGGCCGCUAUUAUUGGGUCUAAAGCGUCCGUAGCCGGUUUGGUAAGUUCUUGGUGAAAUCCUUCGGCAAACUGGAGGGCGUGCUGAGAAUACUACUAAACUUGAGACCGGGAGAGGGCAGAGGUACUUAUGGGGUAGGGGUUAAAUCCUGUAAUCCCAUAGGGACCACCUGUGGCGAAGGCGUCUGCCUGGAACGGGUCUGACGGUGAGGGUCGAAAGCGUGGGUAGCGACCGGGAUUAGAUACCCCGUUAGUCCACGCCGUAAACGAUGCCCGUUUGGUGUUGCAGGCUUCUUGGGAGUCUGCGGUGCCGUAGCGUAGGUGUUAAACGGGCCACCUGGGGAGUACGUUCGCAAGAAUGAAACUUAAGGGAAUUGGCGGGGGAGCACACAAGGGGUGGGCACUGCGGUUCAAUUGGAUUCAACGCCGGAAAUCUCACCAGGGAAGACGGCAGGAUGAAGGUCAGUCUGAAGGGCUUACCUAACAAGCCGAGAGGUGGUGCAUGGCCAUCGUCAGCUCGUACCGUGAGGCGUGCCGUUAAGUCGGUUAACGAGCGAGACCCAUGUCUCAUGUUGCAACCUAUGUUUUCGAAUAUAGGGCACUCAUGAGAGACCGCUGGUGAUAAAUCAGAGGAAGGAAUGGGCAACGGUAGGUCUGUAUGCCCCGAAAUUCCUGGGCUACACGCGGUGCACAAUGCGCGCCACAAUGGGACGCAACGCCGAGAGGUGGAGCUAAUCCCCUAAAAGCGCGCUUAGUUCAGAUCGAGGGUUGUAACUCACCCUCGUGAAGCUGGAAUCCCUAGUAAGCGAACGUCAUCAUCGUUCGCUGAAUACGUCCCUGCUCCUUGCACACACCGCCCGUCAAGCCAACCGAGUGAAGUUUAAACGAGGACUAUUAAAAACCUUCGGGUCAACGGUAGUUCGAGUUUCGGCUUCGUGAGGGGGGCUAAGUCGCCACAAGGUA
rnacentral:rRNA from 1 species